UGGUGCGUUGACUUAGAGAAAUUCACAUGAGUGGUCUGCAUACAAAGCAUGAUAUGGCGGUGCAACAUGAUGAGGGUAUCCACUAGAAUGAAUUUCGAAGAGAGUCAUUUGAAAAAUAGUAAUUGGCCAAUGUCUGUGGUCCAUGUUCUAAGGUAGGAGCCCAAAGCCAACCAGUUCAGGCAAGCACCACAUUGUGCGAUGUUUAAUUAUGCCUUGCAAACGAGAGCAAGUCAAACUAGUGUAGCAACGACUCUUACACUGUUGAGUGCCUUUCUUCCACUUCUCUCAAGGAGAUGACACAGUAAGGAGCAAUCAAUCCACGGAGAUAACCAGGGUUGACCCUCUCCAUGUUUCGCUUGGAUAUGGAAACUAAAAAUCUGCUUCCGUUGUG
rnacentral:lncRNA from 1 species